GUGGGGAAUCUUGCGCAAUGGGCGAAAGCCUGACGCAGCCAUGCCGCGUGAAUGAUGAAGGUCUUAGGAUUGUAAAAUUCUUUCACCGGGGACGAUAAUGACGGUACCGGGAGAACAAGCCACGGCUAACUACGUGCCAGCAGCCGCGGUAAUACGUAGGUGGCAAGCGUUGUCCGGAUUUACUGGGUGUAAAGGGCGAGUAGGCGGGGAGGCAAGUCAGAUGUGAAAUACCGAGGCUUAACUUCGGAGCUGCAUUUGAAGCUGCAUUUCUUGAGUGAUGGAGAGGCAGGAGGAAUUCCCGGUGUUGCGGUGAAAUGCAUAGAGAUCGGGAGGAACACCAGUGGCGAAGGCGGCCUGCUGGACAUUAACUGACGCUGAGGCGCGAAAGUGUGGGGAGCAAACAGGAUUAGAAACCCCGGUAGUCC
rnacentral:rRNA from 1 species